UGUGAAGUAUCAGAUGAAGGCUGUGCUGCUCUCGCUUCAGCUCUGAGAUCAAACCCCUCACACCUGAGAGAACUGAUUCUGACUGAGAAUAAAGUAGGAGACUCAGGAGUGAAGUGUCUCUCUGAUCUGAAGGAUGAUGAACGUUACAAACUACAGACACUGAAUGUUUAAUGGUGAUGAACAAUUGUGUGUGAAGACUCCAGUGUUCCUGCAUUUCCGUGUCUGCAAACCGAGAACACGUUUAUCUACAGGAUCUGAGGAGUUGAUGU